AGUGAACGCUGGCGGUAGGCCUAACACAUGCAAGUCGAACGGCAGCACAGUAAGAGCUUGCUCUUACGGGUGGCGAGUGGCGGACGGGUGAGGAAUACAUCAGAAUCUACUUUUUCGUGGGGGAUAACGUAGGGAAACUUACGCUAAUACCGCAUACGACCUACGGGUGAAAGCAGGGGAUCUUCGGACCUUGCGCGAUUGAAUGAGCCGAUGUCGGUUUAGCUAGUUGGCGGGGUAAAGGCCCACCAAGGCGACGAUCCGUAGCUGGUCUGAGAGGAUGAUCAGCCACACUGGAACUGCGACACGGUCCAGACUCCUACGGGAGGCAGCAGUGGGGAAUUUUGGACAAUGGGCGCAAGCCUGAUCCAGCCAUACCGCGUGGGUGAAGAAGGCCUUCGGGUUGUAAAGCCCUUUUGUUGGGAAAGAAAAGCAGCAGGUUAAUACCCCGCUGUUCUGACGGUACCCAAAGAACAAGCACCGGCUAACUUCGUG
rnacentral:rRNA from 1 species